CCUACGGGAGGCAGCAGUAGGGAAUCUUCGGCAAUGGACGAAAGUCUGACCGAGCAACGCCGCGUGAGUGAAGAAGGUUUUCGGAUCGUAAAACUCUGUUGGUAGAGAAGAACGUUGGUGAGAGUGGAAAGCUCAUCAAGUGACGGUAACUACCCAGAAAGGGACGGCUAACUACGUGCCAGCAGCCGCGGUAAUACGUAGGUCCCGAGCGUUGUCCGGAUUUAUUGGGCGUAAAGCGAGCGCAGGUGGUUUAUUAAGUCUGGUGUAAAAGGCAGUGGCUCAACCAUUGUAUGCAUUGGAAACUGGUAGACUUGAGUGCAGGAGAGGAGAGUGGAAUUCCAUGUGUAGCGGUGAAAUGCGUAGAUAUAUGGAGGAACACCGGUGGCGAAAGCGGCUCUCUGGCCUGUAACUGACACUGAGGCUCGAAAGCGUGGGGAGCAAACAGGAUUAGAUACCCUGGUAGUC
rnacentral:rRNA from 1 species